rnacentral:rRNA from 1 species
CCUACGGGUGGCAGCAGUAGGGAAUAUUGCUCAAUGGGGGAAACCCUGAAGCAGCAACGCCGCGUGGAGGAUGAAGGUUUUCGGAUUGUAAACCCCUAUUGUCAGAGAAGAUAAUGACGGUAUCUAACGAAUAAGCACCGGCUAACUCCGUGCCAGCAGCCGCGGUAAUACGUAGGGUGCAAGCGUUACCCGGAAUGACUGGGCGUAAAGAGCGCGUAGGCGGGAUAGCAAGUCAGAUGUGAAAUCCUAUGGCUUAACCAUGGAACUGCAUUUGAAACUGUUCAUCUGGAGUAAAGGAGAGGUAAGGUGAAUUCUUAGUGUAGGGGUGAAAGUCGGAGAGAUUAGGAGGAAAACUAGUUGCGAAGGGGGCCCACUGGAAUCUAACCGAAGGUGAGGCGCGAAAGCGUGGGGAGCAAACAGGAUUAGAUACCCUGGUAGUC